AGAGUUUGAUCCUGGCUCAGGAUGAACGCUAGCUACAGGCUUAACACAUGCAAGUCGAGGGGAAACGACAUCGAAAGCUUGCUUUUGAUGGGCGUCGACCGGCGCACGGGUGAGUAACGCGUAUCCAACCUGCCCAUCACUUGGGGAUAACCUUGCGAAAGUAAGACUAAUACCCAAUGAUAUCUCUAGAAGACAUCUGAAAGAGAUUAAAGAUUUAUCGGUGAUGGAUGGGGAUGCGUCUGAUUAGCUUGUUGGCGGGGUAACGGCCACCAAGGCUACGAUCAGUAGGGGUUCUGAGAGGAAGGUCCCCCCANAUUGGAACUGAGACACGGUCCAAACUCCGUACGGGAGGCAG
rnacentral:rRNA from 1 species